AUCAAGAGUCAGCCGCUUAACUGACUGAACCACCCAGGUGCCCUGCUCGAUCAAGAACCAGAACAUUCUCAGCAUCCUGGGAGUCCCUUCCUGCUGCCUGCCUGCAUGGUUUCCCCUAAAGGUUCCUGCAAGGAUUGCAUGAAAUCAUGGAUGGAAAGCCAUUAACACAGUGCCUGGCAGACAGUCUGAUGGUGGGAACUGCCCCUCAGACCUGCUGGUUCAGCCCUGCCUGGCCCACCCAUCGUGGACUCUGACUCCCUGAGU